rnacentral:lncRNA from 1 species
CUAUAAUCUUUUUUUUCCCUUCUGCUCAGCACUGCUUUGGUGUUGCUCAGAGACAGAAGCCAGUCAGAGCAGGAGAGAUGCCAGACUUCAGAAAAAAGCAGGGAGUGGGGCUGAAGCAAGGGAGAAAGAGGAGGAUUGUCUCAGGUGGGUUGAUUUCAGAGCACAGGGUGAAUGCUGACACUUCAACUCCACUACAGCCUUCAGGACUUCAGUUUCCUGUUCAGCAUCAGGAAACAAAACCUGUUUUUUUGUCUCUGUCUCUACAGGUGAGGGCAGUGCCCUCUGAAGCAGGAGGACACCUCCAUGUGUGCCACUGUCCUUGGAUGAGGGAGGAUGGCAGGAGAAGAGGGCCAAGGCAUCCCUGGAGAAGUCCUGCAAGCUGCCAGCUUGCCAUUUGUACCAUCCUGCAGGUGAAGGAUGAAAAAUCAAAAUAAUGGCCAAGAAUCCAGCAUCCACCUGCCUUUUUUUGCCCAUGGCAGAGCAAUAAAUCCAGUUAAAGCAUUGCA